rnacentral:lncRNA from 1 species
AUGUAUUACCCAGCCCUCGUGGUACACUCUGUUCCAGGAAAGCAUGGUAGCAAUGCUCAUCAUCCCAUCCUUGAUGGAAGCACCGAGGGAAAUAUCUCCCAGCAUGAGACCUGCACUGGAAAUACUCACAUAAAGCCAGGUCCUCAAGAAAAUGGAGAGAAGAUUGGACCUUUCAGUGCCUCACACCUGAGCCAGACCCCAGUAAGAGUCACCCAGCAAAAGGUUCUGCCCUUUCUGCUACCUUUUCUAUGCUUUCUAUGGCUAAUUUCUGCUCAAAGUGAGAGGCACAACUUCUCUUGCUCGAGGAGAGCCCUUCCCCUCCUCAUGGGCAGUGCUGGGUCCAGCUCUGGGGUCCCCAGUGCAGGAAGGACACGGAGACCUUGGAGUGAGUCCACCAAGGAGGACCAAAGGGAUGGAGCACCUCUCCCACAAGAAAAGGCUGAGAGAAUUGGGAUUGUUCAGCCUGGAGAAGAGAAGGCUCCAGGGAGAGCUCAGGGCCCCUUGCAGGGCCUAAAGGGGCUCCAGGAGAGCUGGAGAGGGACUGGGGACAAGAGCCUGAGAUGACAGGACAAGGAGGAAUGGCUUCCCAGUGCCAGAGGGCAGGGAUGGAUGGGACAUUGGGAAGGAACUCCUGGCUGGGAGGGUGGUGAGCCCCUGGCACAGGGUGCCCAGAGAAGCUGUGGCUGCCCCUGGAUCCCUGGAAGUGUCCAAAGCCAGGCUGGACAGGGCUUGGAGCAGCCUGGGAUAACAGAAGGUGUCCCUGCCCUGGUAGGGGGUUGGAAUAAAAUGGGCUUGAUGGUCUCUUCUAAGCUCCA